GUUUCAUAAGACGGUGGAGAAAUAGAGCUGCUCCAGCCAGGCUGGGAUUAGAAGUCAGGACGCUUGACUCCAGCCCGGGUCCUCGGGACCUUUGCUGGUCCAUACAGAGCAGUUAUGUUACUCAGGAAAAUGUGCCGCCCCCUUGGGUUCACGGCUUGGUGACAGACAAGAGGACUUCAGCUACUACACAGUGCCUGAUGGGGAAUAAGCCGAAGAUACUGUGCAGGACUUGACUUCCUCUGCCAGACCCAGCAGGCUGGCCAGUACUUGCUCAGCCGAGCUCUCUUCUGACGGCUGCACAUCGCUGUUGCCCUGCUGGACACAUAUUUGUGGUGGUCGUAUUUUUCCUCCUUAAUUUAUAGUCCAAGUUUUGAAGAUGAAGAAUGUCUUCCAGCCUCUGCACCCCCUCCUCAUCCAUGCUGGGAAAAUGGGAGAAGACAGUGGGUACGUCCGAAGCCAGCGCUUGCCGGCUGGGAACCCAGGGCUUCCUGUUGUUCCUUUGUCACUGAGCUGGGGGAGGUCGAUAAGAACAGUGUUGCAGAACGACUUCUGGCUGAGGUCGGCCCCAGCCCCAGGGUCAGGUCGCAGCUCCCAGCCCUUUGCUCACACUCUGUGCUCUGCAUGGAGCACUCUCCUCUCUUCCCCAUGGAGCUCCUUCCAUCUCCCUUCUUCCUUCUUCCUGUCUCCCUUCCUCUAAACCCCCCUUGGCCCCUCUAGGCAGUUAGGAAGUCUCUUCUCUCCUCUCCCACAGAAUGUUGCUUGCUGACCUUUUGCCAUCUAGAAUGCUGACUUGCAAUCAGUUGCUUGCCUGUCUCCUUCUCUGGAUGGUGAACUUUGGGGAGAGCAAUGAGAUGAAUGAAAGUGGCCUAGGCAACUGCCCCUGGCUGCCUGGACAGGGGAGCUUCUCCAGCACCGGGAGCCCUCUCCUGGCUAAGGUGCUGCAUCCGACCUGAGCCUCCUGCUAGACUGGGUCUUCCGGCCAUGGCAGCAGGGACUGGCGCUUCCCAUGGUCCUCGAGGUCUCUGAGCCCUGGGCAGCUGGUUUCCCAGACAACAGCUGUAAACAGCUGGCACUCAAAUGCAGACCUCCUGGCCCAGAGCAGCCUGUGCGAACCCCCACUGACAAGGCUGCUUUCGCCCCCGGAGAGCCAGUGGCGCUCCCUGGGAGGCAGACCCAUGCUGCCCUUGCCCCAUGCGUUUCUGCGGGUGACGGGAAGAUGGGGUUCCCGCACCUUCUCUUCUUGCCAACCCAGCCUUGGAGGUUUCCCUUUAGCAAGAAAACCAAUUCUAUGCCUGUGGCCUGUGGCAUUCAUCCCCAGCCCUGAUGUCUGGCCACCGGUGACGCCCCAGCAAUGGCCCAACAUGUGCAAUAUAAGACUCCCUCACGUGCAUGUGUUCGUGCUGUCUCUCCCUCCAGCGUGUGACCCUCUGAAUCCAGUCCUUCUCUUCUCAGCCUCUGCCCCCUCACCGAACGCCUUCUUCCCGACAUGCCUCGCCUGUCUUUGGCAUCUUCCCUCCCUCUUCAUUUCCCAAACCCUACUGCUUAUGCAGCAGACGUGCUCAAAGUUGGGGUAAUGAAAACAGCCCACAAAAGAUGAGGAACCACCUCGAUACGUGACACUAAACGUUCUGAUUUCCUGGCCAUCGUUCCACUGGACAACCAUCUUUUUCCGUCCUCCCCACGCCCAGGCUUCUGCUUGCUCAAGGGGUUUUUCUAGCGAGCACUCUUCCUGUAUUCUCCUCUCUCUUUCCAGACUCUGGACUCUCUCCCUGCCCCUCAGAAAAAAUCUGACAUUCCUCUCACAUUAUUGGGUAAGUUGUUAUCUACAGCCAGUCCGUGUUCACGUCCUAAGUAGGGUGGAGGGGAGAAGAUUGCUUUCUUUAAUCCAAAAGGCCCACGAUGGCAUUUUUCUCACCCAAAGAGCUGCCCACCGUCUUGGCUACGCUGUCCUUUCCAUCUGUUCUCUCUUUAGCUACAUCAAGAAAUUUCAGAGGCUUUGCAGUGAGGGGAGUCCCUUAGCACUGCAGCAGGCUCACAUGGUGCCCUCCCCAACAGUCCCGAUGGUGCAAGGCCCACAGCCAGUGGCAUCCCCGUUGGUCAUGGGUCUGUGGCUUCUUCUUUCUAUACCAGCACAAUGUGAACGAGUGAGCAAACACUCGAUUUCUCUGUGUGUGCAGGGGAAAGUGUAUAAAUACAUUGGGGUUGGAGGUUAUGUGAGUGUGUGCAUGUGCGUGCAGAUUGCGUGUGUGCGUGUGUGUGUGCAUGCACUCCCUUAGGCUGGGACUGGAGGUGGUGGGGGGUGCUUGCAUAUGCUAGGGCUGGAGGUCGGGUGGGGUGUGGGACAGGGAGAAGAAAUUUGUAUAUGAUUUGAGAUUUCUCAGGCUGCCUCUUGCCAAGUGGUUUCCUCUGAAGCUCAGAAUCAGCCCAUAUGGCCUGGGGGGUGGAAAAUCUCACUGUCAGCAGCCAGUCUCUGACUCAUUCUGAAAGCCUGCGGGCCUGCCGCUGACUGCCAUGGGCUCCAUGCUCCGACUGGCUCAUCCCUGCCUUCAGGUUGUGCCUCUGAGGACCCAUGCCCCUUCCCAACAGCUCGGAGGGGUCACAGAGACCCUUUGUCACAUCCAUCCCCCUGACUCCUCCCUCCUGCUGGUCCUCUUCCCCACAUCGCAACUCCCUCCGCCAUUCCCUCACUCUGUGUUCAAAGAUCUCCCAGCAAACGUGUCCUCUACCCACCCCAGGAGGUCCUGGAGUGUCUUCAAAUUCCCACAGCUCCUAGCGGCCGUAUCUGCUCUGCCAUCCCUUCCUUUAUCUCUUACUAGCACUCCCUGCUGGGACCUGUCAUCCCAGAGCCAUGGACACAUGAUCAACAUCACCUCUGCUGGGACAGGAGCCACUGAGACUGUGCCCAACAGAGAAGCUGUUAAAACAUGCAGUUCUUCUGUCACAGAAUGUGCGCCCCAGGCACCUCAUGCCAUCCGAGACCCUCCCCUUGCUCCUGAUCCCUUCCCUACCUGUGGGGAGAGUCCGGGUGGGUGGGGCAUGGGGUAAGACGAGGUGUGUUUGUUGGGAGCAUUAGCCAGCAGGAUAGCAGCUGUGCUAGAUUCAGAUCCAGCCAUCCUGAUGCAUCACAAAGGGGCUUCAAAAGGACCACAUCAAAAGGCCAAGCAUCUCUCCCAGGAUUGUGCCACCUACUGCGCUGGGAGCUGGAUCCUCCAUGCAAGCCGCCUCUUCCUAGGAAUCCAUAGACCAUGAUCAGAGCCACAGGGAGACUUCACACAGCCUGCUAGCUUCCUAAAUCCAUUCUCCCAGCUCCUCUGUUCUUCCACUACUUAAUCCCUCCUUCCCACGUCUGUCCUUGAUCUUGGCAUGAAGCCCCCAGCUGCCAGGUUCCGGGGAUGCCCUAUGGAACAACCAGAGCAGUCCAGCAUGGACCCCUGCACAGCCCAGGGGGGGCACCACCUCAUGGGAGCCAAGCUGGGCCCAGGGAGACGAGACUUCUUCCUCUUCCUCGAGAUGCCCUCAGACAAGAAACUCACUACCACCCAAGGCCCCUUCUGAUCAUUAAUGCAGUGGAUUAUGAAUUACAGUGUCACCAAAAGAGAUGAACAAAAAUUCAACUUAAAGUUGAUUUUGAGCUGCUAUUCUUGCCAGGUAAUAGAAAACACAGUUAGUCAUUUCCGGACAAGCUGAGUCCCUGUAGGAUAUGUGCCAUCUCUCUGGGGUGAACAGUCAGAAGAGGACCCUGCCUGCCUCCUCUCUCACCAGGCGACGUCUGAGUUCCGGGGUCUCAGGGCGUUGAUGGGGAGGAGACGUCUGCUUCCUGUCCCCAUCGGUCCUCUGAUGACACACCCUGGAUGUAAGGUUCUCCUCCAGGAUUUGGUCUUUGCAUGUUGGGGUCUCAAGGAAACAGCGGCUGUGCAGGCCUCUCCAAGGUGUGAGAGGCUACCCCCCAGCUCCCCGGCGCCACCUGCCAUUCUUUUGGCUGCUACAAGAAAAGGAAUAAGGGAUGGAUGGUUUGACUUGCAGCACAUGCUGCCUAUUAUUUUUGGUUGUUCUACAUUUUAACCCCGAUGGUAUUCCAGGCAACUGAAAGGAAGUUGCUGGAGAAGAAGACUUUACCUCAAUAUAUAGAAGCUGCCCUUGACAUGUUGCAGGAAUAUGGGUUUUGGAGAAGACAGACGUGGGUUCGUAAAUAAGAGUGUGAACUUCCUGACACACAGGAAUUAAAACGUGAUCAGAAAACAUUCUUCACUAGGAUGAGGAAUUGAGAAGUCAGGGAGGAGAGCUACAUUUCAUUGAGGGCCCCUAUUUUUCUCUUUAGAAAUGUUCAUUGCUUUUUUAAUUGUGAAAGUCACACAAAUUCGUUAUGGGAAAUUUUUGAAAUGUAAAAAUGGUGUAAACAAAAACAUUAAAAGUCACCCAUAAUCUCACCAGAAACGACCGUUGUAAAUAUUUUGACAUGUUUUCUUCUGGCCUUUUGUCUCUGUGUGUGGGUGUGUGUAGAUUUACAUAAUUCUGCUAAUUCUUUUACACACACUUUGCAUCCUCUUUUUGUUGUGUUUUUUUUGUUUGUUUUCUUACAUCUACUGUUAUACCAUGAGUUUUUUCAAUUUUCCCCUAAAAUAUCUGUGAAGCCACCAAAAAACAAGAUGAAAGAGAAACUGAAAAAUAAACGUAUCUUUUCUUGAGGGCAUGUUAUGUGCCAGGCACCAUCGGAGCGCUUAAUGUGUCUUUUCUCCCCCGACAACAGCUGUGGGGAGGGACAAUUUUUCCCCCAUUUUACAGAUCAGGAAACUAAGCUUUGGGUGGAUAAAGUAAUAUGCAUGAGGGUGCAGAGAGUAAGUUGUGGAAAUAGGAAUUGAAUUGAUGCAUGUGAUUCCUAAAGUCAGGCUCUUAACCAGCAGGCCAUGCCAUUCAUUCAUUCAUUCCACAAAUGAUCAAGCAUUUGCCAUGGCCAGGCAUUUCUCUGGAAUAUCUCAAUCAUCAGAACAGGCAAAGAGAAAGGCCCUCAUGGGGUUAUGUUCGAGUGGGUUGAAAAUGGACAGUGAAUAAACUAAAUACAAACAUUUCACAGUAUGGAGAAUGGUUAUAAGUGUUAUGAGGAAUAAUGAAACCGAAGGGAGAGGAGGUAGGGCAGGAUAGCAUCACAAUCUGAAACAGGAUGCUGAAGGUAGACCUCGCUGAGAGGUGGUAUUUGAGGAAAGUCUUGCAGGAGGUGAAGGAGUGAGCCAUGUGGAUAACUUGGAGAGAAUAUCCAAGCAGAGGGAACAGCACAUGCAAAGUCCCUGAGGCCAGAGGGUGCUGGAACCGUUUGAGGAAUAGGAGGAAGUCGGAGUCAUUGGGGUAGAGUGAGCAGGAGAGACAGUGAGAGGAGAUAAGAUUGGAGAUUUUAGUCAAGUGGUCCCGUCACUCUUAUAAGCCAACAUGAAGACUUUGGCUCUCCCUUUAGAUGAGAUGGAAGGCAUUAAAAGACCGAGUAGAGUAUCGUGAUCCAACACGUAUUAGAAAAGGAUCUCUCUGGCUUUUGUGUGCAGGAAAGACUAUAAAAGGGACAGGGAUAAAAAAGAGAAGAGCCAGAAAGCUGUUGCAAAGAUCCAAGCAGGGGAUAAUGGGGGGCUGGACCAGGGUGGUCACAGGCAAGGUGGUAAGUGUCUGAUCCCAGAUCUCCUUCAAAGGAGGCAGAUUGAACCCAGGAGUAUGGGAGUCCUGAGUGUUACUCUAGACGAUAGUGAAAGCUUUUGGGUUCGAUGAGAUGACGUAGGAGUGUGUCCUAGAGAAGAGACGGCCUGAGAACUGAGCCCUAGACCAUUCUAACAAAGACAGGUUGGAAACUAAGAAAGUUUAGGUGGCAAGACAGAAAACGAAUCUCUUUUGAGAAUCAACUCAGCAAGUGGUCAAUGCGGGGCACACGUUACCUAAUCAAAUCCCCACUCCAAUCUUGUGGGAAACAGUCUUCUCCCUAUCUUCUAGAUGAGAGAAAUUAAGGCUCAGAGAGAAGAAAGGAAUUAUCCAAGGUAUCGAGUAAGAAAGUAGCAGAGCUGGGAUGGCAGCCUCUUCUUGGAUGACGUCAAGGGCACAUCUCUUGGCCUGGCUGUGUCCUACCCCUGCAUGGCAGACAAGCCAAGAUGGAAGUCUGCAUUUCUCCUUCCAUAUAGCCCCCAAUCAUGACCAUGAAAGGGAGCUGAUUGAUACACAUUCCGGCAUCCUCCCUUUGGGUGGGACAAUUCUGAGAUGUGUUCUUCACUUUCUCCCAGAGCUCCCAGUGGGAUUGGGCCCCAUUGCCCACGGUCACCACUGUGGCUUGAUAACCUUCCCCAGCCGGUUUCCUUCCAGUCCCUUCCUCGCUUGCCCAUUCUCUUAAUGGUAGUUCCCAAAUCACCUCCCAAAUAAAUCCUUUGCACUUGAAUUCCUAUCUCAGGAGCUGCUUCUGAGGAAAGCCACAUGUAGACUCCUUCGCAUGAAGAACAAAGACCCACAGCCCGGGGAGGAGGUGGUCCCAGAGGUGGUGUCAGCAAUCCGUGGUGUGGGGAUGGCUUCUUGUGCACACGGAGCCUGCGUGUGUGAGACACAUGUAUGUGGGCACGCAUCCUUCUGUGCACGUGGGUGGGUGUCCACGUCUGUGUGCCAGCUCAUAAGUUAAAAACAGGAAAGGAAAAUGUAAGCAGCUUCUUAUGUAAAUAUUGGGCAACCAGAAUGCUUUUCAUUUGCUUCUAGUCAUUUCAGAGUUUCUGAAACUUUGCCUUUCCUCCCCUUGGAUGGAGAGUGGGAGUGGAGGUGGGGGAAAAUGAGGUUAUUUUUGUCCUGGGGAUUUCAGGGUCCCUUCCUUUAUGCACGUCUCCCCUCGCUUUUCCACCCACCUGAGCCCCCGGAGAAAAGAUCAGCUGAAGACAGACAGCCUUGGCAAAGCAGGUGGCACCUCUGCCCCUCCGGGUGGCAGAGGAUUCACUGAAAGACACUAGACCACCCAAUGGCUUGCCCAUGACAUCCCACCUCAGUGCUCUCAACUCCAGAGAAAAGGGGUGGCCAGAUGCCAUGGCUGAAACGGUUCUAGAUUUGAUGACGGAAACCGUAGGUUUGCAAUCCACUUCUGUUUGUGACAAAG
rnacentral:lncRNA from 1 species